ensembl:lncRNA
CAAGUAGGCAAAUAGCAGAUAUUAUUGCCCAUUCAACAGACAAGAAAACAAGUACAUUUAUUUGAACAUUUGUGAGUAAUAAGUACACUUUUGAUAUUUCAAGAACACUAUAUGAAAAAAUUCACCUACUACAUGACAUAUUUUCACUUACAGAAAAAAAUCUGAAAAAUGAUUCUUUGAAAAUGUAAUAAAAAGUGAACAGCUUUUUGUAUAAAGACAUGAUGACACUUAAAACAAGCAUUCCCCCCUUUCUCUCCCUCCCCCCAUCUUCCUAAAUGGUCAGAAGAUUUUAGGAUUUAGAGUUAGAUGAGUUAUAUCAACUCACAAGUUCUUAACCAAGAGUCUGCAAAUUUGUUUUCAAAAAAUAAUCUGAUAAUUAUUUCAAUAUAGUUGGUUUUCUUUAUAGUUUCAUAUAUUCUAUUUUAUUCAAUAAAAAAAAAAUUAUUCUAAGAAGGCUUCACCAGAGUAGUCCAUAACACAAAGAAGGUUAAGAACUUCUAGGAGAGCCAGACAUAAUUUUAUAGAUGAAGAAACUGAAUCCUAGGGAAGUUAAAGGGCUUUGGCCUAAGGGAACACAAUAUUAAGGAUCAAACCAAGGAUUCAAAAUCAGAUCUUCUGACUCCAAAUUUAAUGUUCUUGUCCCGACACCAUUCCUGCAUGAUGUUGGGCUACUCAUUCACACCAUUUAAUAUGGAUUUACUGAUGCUAGCACAUGAUACAUCCUUGCAAAAGGGCUGGCCAACGACACAAUUCCAGCUUAUGGCCACGCUAACAGGGUAUAGCAUAUGAUACAUCCUUGCAAAAGGGCUGGCCAAAGACGCAAUUCCAGCUUAUGGCCACGCUAACAGGGUAGGAAGCUUACUGUCCUGCCUUAGGACUUAACUCACAACAAUGGGCUGCUGGUUAGCACCAUGUUCUAAACUGAGAUAAGCAGUCCAAGAAAUUAGUUGGAAUAAAAUUCUGCCAGAUCAUGCCCAUAUCCCACAUUUUCUAUUAUUUUUUAAAUGUUCUGUUCCUUUUACUUGUUUGCCAUUACAAUCUCAAGUUAGUUAGGACAUUAGUUUAGUCUUCCUUCUUCAUAACACCAUAAUGGUUUAAUUUCUGUCCGUCCUUAUCCCCUCCAGGCUGUGAGCUAAUUUUGCAUCUCCCUUAAUAGAGAAUUUCACAGUCAGUGCAUUUCAGCAAGAAUACCCAACAUUUACAUAGAUGAGAUGGGGUGAAUUUGCUCUUGCUUUCAGGUACUUUUAUGGGGUCUAGAAUGAACCAGAAGGCGCCUGCAACCAUUUAAGAACCCCAGAUCUUCUUCACCUGCAUCAAAGUUCCCUACCUCGCCGUUGGUCAGAGUACAACAGAUUUCCUGUGAUGGUCACGGUUUCCUAGAGUUGUUAACAACGAUCCCAAACUAAGUAUUUACAAUGGGUGCUCAAUGGCAUUCACACUAAUCCACAAACACGCAUUUCUACAUCUCUACAUUGUACUUAGCAUGAACUGUGUUUGGUGGCAUCAUAAAGGGAACAUAAAACUGGGCUACAGAGGGUGCCUAAUGAUCCGGGUACUCAGGAAGCAAAGCAUCCUAGUGCUAAAAAUGCAUGAGGGGGCAAAAAGUCACUAAUCCUUGGGGGGGGGGGGGGGGGGGGUCCCUGUUUUUAAGAGGAAGCAUUGCCUAAUGGUUGGAGGGCUGGCCUUGAGGUCUGGAAGAGCGGGGUUCGAUUCUGCC